ACGCUCGACAGUGCCAGCAGCCGCGGUAAUACGUAGGGGGCAAGUGUUGUCCGGAAUUAUUGGGCGUAAAGGGCGCGUAGGCGGAUUUUUAAGUCUGGUGUGAAAGAUCAGGGCUCAACCCUGAGAGUGCAUCGGAAACUGGAGAUCUUGAGGACAGGAGAGGAGAGUGGAAUUCCACGUGUAGCGGUGAAAUGCGUAGAUAUGUGGAGGAACACCAGUGGCGAAGGCGACUUUCUGGACUGUAACUGACGCUGAGGCGCGAAAGCGUGGGGAGCAAACAGGAUUAGAUACCCUGGUAGUCCACGCUGUAAACGAUGAGUGCUAGGUGUAGAGGGUAUCGACCCCUUCUGUGCCGCAGUUAACACAAUAAGCACUCCGCCUGGGGA
rnacentral:rRNA from 1 species